UACGGAGGGUGCAAGCGUUGCUCGGAAUUAUUGGGCGUAAAGGGCAGGUAGGUGGUCCGAUUUGUCUGGGGUGAAAUCCUUGGGCUUAACUCAAGAAGUGCCCCAGAAACGGUCGGACUAGAGUGCUGGAGAGGCUAGCGGAAUACCCGGUGUAGCGGUGAAAUGCGUAGAGAUCGGGUGGAACACCAGAGGCGAAGGCGGCUAGCUGGACAGUGACGUGACACUGAGGAGCGAAAGCCAGGGGAGCAAACGGGAGUUA
rnacentral:rRNA from 1 species